rnacentral:rRNA from 1 species
AGGAUGAACGCUGGCGGCGUGCUUAACACAUGCAAGUCGAACGAUGAAGCCGGAGCUUGCUCUGGUGGAUUAGUGGCGAACGGGUGAGUAACACGUGAGUAACCUGCCCUUGACUCUGGGAUAAGCACUGGAAACGGUGUCUAAUACCGGAUACGAGCUUUAGCCGCAUGGCUAGGAGCUGGAAAGAAUUUCGGUCAAGGAUGGACUCGCGGCCUAUCAGGUAGUGGUGAGGUAACGGCCACCAAGCCUACGACGGGUAGCCGGCCUGAGAGGGUGACCGGCACACUGGGACUGAGGCACGGCCCAGACUCCUACGGGAGGCAGCAGUGGGGAAUAUUGCACAAUGGGCGCAAGCCUGAUGCAGCAACGCCGCGUGAGGGACGACGGCUUUCGGUUGUAAACCUCUUUAGUAGGAAGAAGCGAAAGUGACGGUACCUGACAGAAAAGCGAACGCUAACUACGUGCCAGCAGCCGC